CUUUCACAAAUAUGUUCUUUAAGUAUUUUUGUUUCCUAUUUGUUUUAUAUCCUAAUCCAGCUUUAUCAUAUACGGCUUUUUGCUAUCAAGAAUCAUAUUUAAUUUGGUUGAGCUAAGUGUAAACUUGUCUACUAAGGAUUUGUAUUUUUCAGCAUCUUCUUUUAACUUGACAUUUUCAGCAAUUAGAUUCUCGGUUUCAUUUGUGAAUCUCCUACUUAAUGUUUCAUAGUUAUUAGAUAGUUUCAGCUUAUCUUUGAUAAGAGAUUGAUUUUCAUCUUUUAGAGCUUUAUUUUUAUUUAUUAGUUUUUUGUGUUCUUUCAUGAGUUCUAAAAAUGCAUCAUGUAAUUCUUCAACAGUAAAAUCACAUUCAAGUUCAGAAUCUACCUCAUCGUCAUUAGCCAUAU
rnacentral:lncRNA from 1 species